rnacentral:rRNA from 1 species
AAAAAAGGUAAGCUACUAAGAGCGAAUGGUGGAUGCCUUGACUGGUAAAGGCGAUGAAGGACGUACUAGACUGCGAUAAGCUACGGGGAGCUGUCAAGAAGCUUUGAUCCGUAGAUUUCCGAAUGGGGCAACCCAAUGUAUAGAGAUAUACAUUACCUAUAUAGGAGCGAACGAGGGGAAUUGAAACAUCUUAGUACCCUCAGGAAAAGAAAUCAAUAGAGAUUGUGUCAGUAGCGGCGAGCGAAAGCGCAAGAGGGCAAACCCAGUGCUUGCACUGGGGGUUGUAGGACUGCAAUGUGCAAGAGCUGAGUUUAGCAGAACAUUCUGGAAAGUAUAGCCAUAGAGGGUGAUAGUCCCGUAUGCGAAAAACAAAGCUUAGCUAGCAGUAUCCUGAGUAGGGCGGGACACGAGGAAUCCUGUCUGAAUCCGGGUCGACCACGAUCCAACCCUAAAUACUAAUACCAGAUCGAUAGUGCACAAGUACCGUGAGGGAAAGGUGAAAAGAACUGAGGUGAUCAGAGUGAAAUAGAACCUGAAACCAUUUGCUUACAAUCAUUCAGAGCACUAUGUAGCAAUACAGUGUGAUGGACUGCCUUUUGCAUAAUGAGCCUGCGAGUUGUGGUGUCUGGCAAGGUUAAGCAAACGCGAAGCCGUAGCGAAAGCGAGUCUGAAUAGGGCGCUUAGUCAGAUGCUGCAGACCCGAAACGAAGUGAUCUAUCCAUGAGCAAGUUGAAGCUAGUGUAAGAACUAGUGGAGGACUGAACCCAUAGGCGUUGAAAAGCCCCGGGAUGACUUGUGGAUAGGGGUGAAAGGCCAAUCAAACUUCGUGAUAGCUGGUUCUCUCCGAAAUAUAUUUAGGUAUAGCGUUGUGUCGUAAUAUAAGGGGGUAGAGCACUGAAUGGGCUAGGGCAUACACCAAUGUACCAAACCCUAUCAAACUCCGAAUACCUUAUAUGUAAUCACAGCAGUCAGGCGGCGAGUGAUAAAAUCCGUCGUCAAGAGGGAAACAACCCAGACUACCAGCUAAGGUCCCUAAAUCUUACUUAAGUGGAAAACGAUGUGAAGUUACUUAAACAACCAGGAGGUUGGCUUAGAAGCAGCCAUCCUUUAAAGAAAGCGUAAUAGCUCACUGGUCUAGUGAUUUUGCGCGGAAAAUAUAACGGGGCUAAAGUAAGUACCGAAGCUGUAGACUUGCGCACAACUUAGAUUAUUUAAGUUUAGAAUAUGAGAAACUAAGUUAUAUUUUUACUGAUUUUUAUAGAGUAAAGAUAGAAAUAAAACUUAGUAAAAUCAGUAAAAAUAUUCUUAGGCUAAAGUUAAGUAGUUUAAGUUGUGUGCAAGUGGUAGGAGAGCGUUCUAUUUGCGUCGAAGGUAUACCGGUAAGGAGUGCUGGAGCGAAUAGAAGUGAGCAUGCAGGCAUGAGUAGCGAUAAUUAAUGUGAGAAUCAUUAACGCCGUAAACCCAAGGUUUCCUACGCGAUGCUCGUCAUCGUAGGGUUAGUCGGGUCCUAAGUCGAGUCCGAAAGGGGUAGACGAUGGCAAAUUGGUUAAUAUUCCAAUACCAACAUUAGUGUGCGAUGGAAGGACGCUUAGGGCUAAGGGGGCUAGCGGAUGGAAGUGCUAGUCUAAGGUCGUAGGAGGUUAUACAGGCAAAUCCGUAUAACAAUACUCCGAGAACUGAAAGGCUUUUUGAAGU